rnacentral:rRNA from 1 species
UACGGAGGGGACUAGCGUUGUUCGGAAUUACUGGGCGUAAAGCGCACGUAGGCGGAUUUGUAAGUCAGACGUGAAAUCCCUCGGCUUAACCGGGGAACUGCGUCUGAUACUGGAUGGCUUGAGUUCGGGAGAGGUGAGUGGAACUGCGAGUGUAGAGGUGAAAUUCGUAGAUAUUCGCAAGAACACCAGUGGCGAAGGCGGCUCACUGGCCCGAUACUGACGCUGAGGUGCGAAAGCGUGGGGAGCAAACAGG